GAUGAACGCUGACAGAAUGCUUAACGCAUGCGAGUCUUUGGCGAAGCUGUGCUUGCACAGCCUAGCCAAGGCGGACGGGUGAGUAACGCGUAAGGAACUUGCCCUGCAGUCAGGGAUAACAGACGGAAACGACUGAUAAGACCUGGUAAAGUCAGGCGGACUCAUGUCCAGCCUGAUGAAAAGAGAUGCUGCAGGAGAGCCUUGCGUCCUAUUAGCUUGUUGGUGGGGUAACGGCCCACCAAGGCGAUGAUAGGUAGCCGGCCUGAGAGGGUGGACGGCCACAAGGGGACUGAGAUACGGCCCUUACUCCUACGGGAGGCAGCAGUGGGGAAUAUUGGACAAUGGGGGCAACCCUGAUCCAGCAAUUCUGUGUGCACGAUGAAGGUUUUCGGAUUGUAAAGUGCUUUCAGCAGGGAAGAAAAAAAUGACGGUACCUGCAGAAGAAGCGACGGCUAAAUACGUG
rnacentral:rRNA from 1 species